UGAGUUUGAUCCUGGCUCAGAUUGAACGCUGGCGGCAGGCCUAACACAUGCAAGUCGAGCGGAAACGACAUUAUCGAUUCUUCGGAUAAUUUAAUGGGCGUCGAGCGGCGGACGGGUGAGUAAUGCCUAGGAAAUUGCCUUGAUGUGGGGGAUAACCAUUGGAAACGAUGGCUAAUACCGCAUAAUGCCUUCGGGCCAAAGAGGGGGACCUUCGGGCCUCUCGCGUCAAGAUAUGCCUAGGUGGGAUUAGCUAGUUGGUGAGGUAAUGGCUCACCAAGGCGACGAUCCCUAGCUGGUCUGAGAGGAUGAUCAGCCACACUGGAACUGAGACACGGUCCAGACUCCUACGGGAGGCAGCCGUGGGGAAUAUUGCACAAUGGGCGCAAGCCUGAUGCAGCCAUGCCGCGUGUAUGAAGAAGGCCUUCGGGUUGUAAAGUACUUUCAGUUGUGAGGAAGGGGGUAACGUUAAUAGCGUUAUCUCUUGACGUUAGCAACAGAAGAAGCACCGGCUAACUCCGUGCCAGCAGCCGCGGUAAUACGGAGGGUGCGAGCGUUAAUCGGAAUUACUGGGCGUAAAGCGCAUGCAGGUGGUUCAUUAAGUCAGAUGUGAAAGCCCGGGGCUCAACCUCGGAACUGCAUUUGAAACUGGUGAACUAGAGUGCUGUAGAGGGGGGUAGAAUUUCA
rnacentral:rRNA from 1 species